AAAAGAAGCUGCAGGAAAGGAGGAGGAAGAAGAAUGAAGGAAAAAGGAAGAAGAAAACAAAAAAAAAAGAAGAAAAAAAAGGGAAAUAAAGAGAAAAAGAAUGAAAGAAAAGAAAAGAAAAGAAAAGAAAAAAAGUAAAAAAAAAGAGAAAGAAAAGAUAAGAAAAAAAUGAGGGAAAAAAAUGGAAAUGCAGUGACGAGAUCUGCUAUUAGUAGACUGCACACGACGAUGCGCAUUGAUCCCAGCAUUAGUGUGUGUCAUUUUCGAUGACACGCGUGUGGUAGCGCAUAAUAACAUUGGCAACCCAGAUCGCGUGUCCCAAGGUAAAAUUCGUUCCUCAUUUCGCGUUAUAUAGUUUCUAAAAUUAUUCGUAAUUUAAUAUAUGUAUUUUUCGUUAUAAACAAGAAAAAUUAUUCCAACAGUAUUUGAAUUUCCAAGAGGAUUAUAGACCGAGCCAAAAAAGAUUCCCAAAGCUUUUCUGAUCAUACUGUAGGUAAGAAUUAUGUGUAUUCCGUAUAGAGAC
rnacentral:lncRNA from 1 species